ACGCUGGCGGCACACCUAACACAUGCAAGUCGAACGAAGUAGCAAUACUUAGUGGCAGACGGGUGAGUAACAUGUAGGUAUCUGCCCUUUGGCCUGGAAUAACACGAGGAAACUUGUGCUAAUACCGGAUAAGUCUUCACGGAGAAAGCUUUAUGCACCAUUGGAUGAGCCUGCACUUGAUUAGUUUGUUGGUAGGGUAAUGGCCUACCAAGACUGUGAUCAAUAGCUGAUUUGAGAGGAUGAUCAGCCACAUUGGGACUGAGACACGGCCCAAACUCCUACGGGAGGCAGCAGUGGGGAAUCUUGCACAAUGGAGGAAACUCUGAUGCAGCGAUGCCGCGUGAGUGAAGAAGGCCCUUGGGUUGUAAAGCUCUUUCGUCGGGGAAGAAAAUGACUGUACCCGAAUAAGGAGGUCCGGCUAACUUCGUGCCAGCAGCCGCGGUAAUACGAAGGGACCUAGCGUAGUUCGGAAUUACUGGGCUUAAAGAGUUCGUAGGUGGUUGAAAAAGUUGGUGGUGAAAUCCCAGAGCUUAACUCUGGAACUGCCAUCAAAACUUUUCAGCUAGAGUUUGAUAGAGGAAAGCAGAAUUUCUAGUGUAGAGGUGAAAUUCGUAGAUAUUAGAAAGAAUACCAAUUGCGAAGGCAGCUUUCUGGAUCAUUACUGACACUGAGGAACGAAAGCAUGGGUAGC
rnacentral:rRNA from 1 species